rnacentral:pre_miRNA from 1 species
UCACCUCCGCAGGCUAGCUGGUCCCCAGGCUGGGCUGGGCCAGUACAUCUUGGAAAGGCUCACCCUUGAACAUGACUAGGAGC